rnacentral:lncRNA from 1 species
CCCACUCUGCUGCUGUCAGACAAUUUCCUCGGCGAGAGAUUUACUGGCUCCCUCACUGGUGAACAUAACGGUGCUACGGAAUUAGAGAACUUCGAUUUCUCGUUUUGUCGUUUUGAUACCUUAACAUACAGAGGCUUUAUCAGCUUCAAAUACUUGGGAACAGAUUGCUUUAUUUUAGCUUCCUCGGAGGACUCUUUAGUCAAUUUGCUUCUCAAACUGUUGUCUCUGCUGAGAAAUGGGGCGACCGGAACUUCAUCAGAUUUGCAUUUCACGGUGAAGCGAUUGCUCUGUUCAUUUUUGGGUGAUCUCGAGAACCGAGUUGAUGGACUCGCAGAUAACUCGUCGCCGGAUUCACUUUUCUCCGACUCUCUAAACCCCAGCGUGAAGACUUUAAAGGUCGGCCCCGGUUUCUGUAACGAUGUCGGAGGCGAUAACAGCUUUGAACCAGAAUCCAUUGAUAAAUUUUUCUCGGUCAUGAAAACAUCUCUCGGGGAUUCAACGAAAUGAAAAUCCUUUCUUACUUCUUCAUUAUUGGUGCAACCAGACGACGUGAAAACCAAAUCGAAGAACGAUUCUUCGUCAUCCGUUUCAUCGUUGGAGUUAUUUCUGAAGGAAUCUCCGGUGACAUUUCGCCAGAACUUGAAAAUGCUUAAAGAUUCCAUUCAGAGUUUAUCCAAUGAAAGAUGGAAUGUGAUAGUGACUAACAGUAAAAAUGGUAGUGUUGGGGUCUGAGAAAAAAUACUUAGAAAUGGUGCUUUGCUUUGAGAGAGCAGAGGUUGAAGAAGGCCUUUUAUGCAGGUUGGCUUGUGUGGGUUAGUAAGGCAUUGUUUGUCUCGCGGUUAUAAAUUUAAUAUAUUUUUAAUAACUAGUAGUAAAUAUGUGCGUUGCUCGUUUUAUGUAUGGAACGGAUAAUAUAAGUAAUAUUUUUAAAGGAAGUUAAUUGAUAAUGUUAAGAAAAAUUAAAAUUGCUAGAGAAAAGUCUUAUGAAAUUACAUACAUAUGAUAUGAAAAUGUUAAAUAAUCUAAAAUGUAAUAUUUGUGUACCUAUUUGUUUAUGCUAGACAUUUGGAAGGGCACUAUUUUGAACCAUUACUGUAACAUAUACCAGCUUUAUAGUGCAGUCGGGCACGAAUAAAAGUUGAAUUAAAAUAUGUACAUUUGACUAAGUUUAAAAUGUUUACUUAUAAGUAAACUAAACGUACAUAAAUAAUUUUCAAAAUAAAAAUUACUUAUUUUGUCAGUAACAUUAAUAUUUCUACCUGAAAGAGUAAAAAUAAAAAAGUAUCUUAUCUAAAAACAUUUAGAAAAUAAAAUUACAUAUUAGUCCAUAGCAUUUAUUUUAAAUUAAACACCAAAUUUGCAUUCAAAAAAAAAUAUAGAAGUGAAAAAUCUUAAAACAAAAGUUUUUAUUUUUCUUUUGAAUGGGAUUAAUACAAAUGGAGGAAUAAAAAUUCACCUUUUAAAUGUAUCGAGAUAAAAAUCUGUUCCUUUUCUUUACAUAUUUAUGUCUGAUAAGUAACGAACGUGCUAUAUUAAUUAUUUUCAGAACAUGUAAUAUUAGUUUUUGUUAGUACUUAAAAAUUUGGUUUUAGUGAAAAAUGUGUAAUUAAGAUAAGAAACUUGUAUCUAGUGGGAUGGAUACAAAUAUGGGAAAGGUAAUUAUUAGGAGCAAUUAGUAAGGUUUUUAAGAUUAAUGGAUAAUUUCUCUCAUCUUCGACUCUUUCUCUUCUAAUUGUUGAUCAAUAAAUUGUCCUUUGUAUUGAAAUAGUUAUAUUAUCCAUUCUAUUAAUUACACGUGCAAUUAUAUAAAUAGAAGAACGUUAAUUUUAAGUGAAGCUCACACAUACAUAUUAAAUUUAACUUUAUUUACUCUCCUUUUCAUAGGGUUCAUUUUUCAUAUUAGAGUACUCAUAAUUUUUUAUUUAUUAAAUUAAGCCCUUGUUUGAGCCACAUUAUUUUUAUUAGAAUGUAUUUUUGAAUAGUGUAUUGAUGAAUAUGUGUGGUUAAAAAAUAAGAAAAAAUUUUGAGUUUGCGUGUAAUAUUAUUUUAUUGAGAAUGUGUGGUUGAAAUGAUGUUAAAUCAUUGAUUAAGAUUUUUUAUUUUUAUUUGUUGUUUUUAAGAAUGUGGGCCAGAGUGUAAGUUUAAUCACUUAAAAUUUAAGCUCGUGAACAUUAAAACUAUAAAAAUUACUAAUUUAUAUUAUAAUUAAUCUUCCAUUAUUUUAACGCAACGUUAUAUACAUAUAUAUAUAUAUUCAAUCUACACUUUUAAUAGAUUAUAGAUUUAAGUUUUUUCAUGAUUUAGGAUGCGUUUGAGUCACAUGUAUUUUGGAAUAGUAAAUUGAUUGAGAAUGUGUGGUUAAAAAAGAAUGAAAUUUUUUUAAUUUAUAUGUAAUAUAUUAUUUUAAUGAAAAAUAUGUGAUUGAAAAGAAUAUAGAAAAAAAUUGUAUUUGAGAAAAAAUGGGAAUUAAACAUCCCCUUAGUCUAUGUUUGGCCCUCAUUUUUUCAUUUUCAAAAACUAAUUUUUUUUUGACGGUGACAAACCGACGGCAGCGGAGGCCGAUCGGCUUUUUGCUAAAUGCUUAGUUACAAUCUUAAAACUACCCACUCUGCUGCUGUCAGACAAUUUCCUCGGCGAGAGAUUUACUGGCUCCCUCACUGGUGAACAUAACGGUGCUACGGAAUUAGAGAACUUCGAUUUCUCGUUUUGUCGUUUUGAUACCUUAACAUACAGAGGCUUUAUCAGCUUCAAAUACUUGGGAACAGAUUGCUUUAUAUUAGCUUCCUCGGAGGACUCUUUAGUCAAUUUGCUUCUCAAACUGUUGUCUCUGCUGAGAAAUGGGGCGACCGGAACUUCAUCAGAUUUGCAUUUCACGGUGAAGCGAUUGCUCUGUUCAUUUUUGGGUGAUCUCGAGAACCGAGUUGAUGGACUCGCAGAUAACUCGUCGCCGAAUUCACUUUUCUCCAACUCUCUAAACCCCAGCGUGAAGACUUUAAAGGUCGGCCCCGGUUUCUGUAACGAUGUCGGAGGCGAUAACAGCUUUGAACCAGAAUCCAUUGAUAAAUUUUUCUCGGUCAUGAAAACAUCUCUCGGG